UGUUGUACGGGAGUCCAUAAGUUCAGCCAUUAUCAUCACCUUAGUUCUCCUUUAAUAUACGGUACGAAGUACCUUGUUUAUUCGUACAAAAAGAGUCGUAUAUAUUUAGAAUGGUAAUCUAUCAGUUCACCAGUCAGGCUGUGCGAAAUUUGAAUUGUUGGUAGGGGUAAAAUAGUAUGGUGGGGAAGUCUUUAUGGCAGAUGGUAGUGGAAGAAGGAAAGGUACGAAGUGUUCAGUUACGAGUCACCCGUUUGCCAGUUUAGGUCUAUUGGUAAGAAAUGUUCAUUAUGUUCAAUAUAUUCGGAGAUCCCAAAGAUCCGAAUCAGAUAUGUAUUUGUUGCAAGAAUUCUUCAAGGAUUUAGUGACGCUGUUGAAAAAUGGCACUCUGUACGUGAGUUCUGGUCGCCUCGUUGCUGCUCUUGUCAAGGUCAUUUUGAAUUCGAGUAUGCCAAAAAGCAGUUGUUCUCAUAAUUACUGGAAAUUUGUUUUCGUACUUAUAAGCAGAAUAGUCAGAAUCGGGGAAGGUGACCACUGUCCUAUACUAAUAUGACUUUUACUACGUACAAUACUCAGUUGUACUGUAACAUAGAUCAUCAUUGGCUUGACAUCAAUGACAAAUGACAUUGAGUUAAUCUUCGAUCAUCGCAACUUUAAUCUCUUACAUUUUCGGCCUACGACAUGGACGCGUGUUUUGGAGCCACUAUGAAACUUCGUAAGUAGUGACUACAGGAAUUAUUAAUAAUUGAAGUCUUUCUAAUAUUCAUCAUACCGAGAACGAAAGAUUCUCGAAAGUUUGUAAUUUUUUCGAUAAAUUACUGACGUACAUCACCGUUAGUAAUUCUUCUUUUUGGAUUAAUUUAUGAAUAGUACGUUUUUAAUUGUGUAUUUUCAUUAUUCUUUUAUUAUGCGUAUCUAUUAGCUCGGGAUAGGGUCAGUACAAAUCGUUUAAUUAAUAGUGCAGUUAAUUAAUACUGUUUUUGUUCGUGUUUGCUUGCAGUAUGCGUAGUGACAUCGAGCAUUCCUUUACCUGAUAUCGUCAAAAAAAGUAUAUUAGGUGGUUUAUGUUGCACCCGUUAUUUCGUAUUUAGUCUAUUUAAUUACAAUCUAGCUCGAUAUAUUGAUAUCGUUAUACCAAAAAAUGAGUAAGAAGACAAACGCGACGAUUCGAUCGUGGGAAUUGGUUUUAUUCUUUUACAAGAACAGUUAUUUUUGGUGAAAGGGGUUACCGAGGCUUUUUAAUGAAGUGUGUUAAUAAAGGAUGAGUCUCAACAAAAUCGUUGUUUUCGGAAGAAUAAAAUAGAGUAAUAGUAAAAGAUAAAGUCAUUGCUGAAUAAAAAAGUUUGGAAAGUCAUCGCACAUGCACUAAAUAUUAGAUAGACUAUUGUGUCCUAUUUAUUCCUGUUAGUUUUCUCGUACUUUUUGCUCGUUUACGCAGGUAUUUUAUGAAUGAAAAAUAGUUUAAUUUCAGUUUUUAGUUUUCUUUUACUACCGAUUGCAAUAGUGAUUUGCACGAUGUAGUUUUGCCCUGAUGAAUCCGUGAAUUAGGUAGUCGAUUCUACAUCGUUACGUUAAAAUUUUAAUUACAUAUAUACAUACUUCUCGAAAAUAUUUCAUUAUUUAGAAUAUCAGAUUAAUCACGUAGUAAUGAAUAAAAAAAAAAUACUCGUGUUAUUGCGUAUAUAUGUAUAUCGGUACCUAUUAAUCUAUACUCGACGACUUUUUCGUUUAGGAGAAUUAAAAUGUUAAGACGACUUUGCGGAUAUUAGGUAAGCUUUUUACAGCUACUUUAAAACCAAGUAUCCAAAAAAUUUUGCUGAAUUUGUCUCUCGUGAAUGUUUUUGAAUAAAAAGAAAUGUUGCUUACGUUAUUCCUUGACCAAUAUUCUUGUAAAUUUGACAAUGGCAUGAUUCCCCUAUUUAUUAUUACUUCAAGAAAUGACCAGAAUUCUUCUUUGGCCAAACUCGCUAUAUCCAAUCCGACGAGAGCGUACUUCAUCGAUAACUUGAUUACUACUUUCAUCAUGAAGUGUUUUAUUACUUACGUAAUGAAAAAAAAAAUCAAUCUCAUUCUUACUUGAACCAAUUUCAUUUGUAGAAUCCAUUUUCGUAAAGCUUUGAAACUUUUCAAGCAAUAAUGGUUCUCCAACGAUCCUCGAAUCUGAACUGACAUCGGUAACUUUGUCGAAAAUAUGAUCACGAUCCAGAAUUCUUUCAAAUAAUCAAAUAAUUUUAUAGCCAUUUCGAGGUAUCACCCUACAAUUCUUAAAAGAAUAUAGAAAGGACAUAGGAAUUCGUUCAUGGUCCAGUAAUUCCUCGAGUUUUUAUUAUAUCUGAUAUAAACAAGCGUUGCUGCUCCUUGCGCACUACUUGAAUUGCUGCCUGAAACUGAGUGCGAAUGUUUACAUUGAAUUUAUUUCCUCGUGCAAAAAUAUAUUUGAACAUUAGAUUAAACAAAAUUAUAGUGGAAAAAUGAAAAAUAUUCUUAUGUUACUAGCAUGCUUUUACCUGUACUAUAUUUACUAAUUGACUAUGUUGUAGUACUUUCUGUACUUAUUUAUACUGAAAGUUGUACUUUGCACUAUAGUCAUUACUCUUGACAGUCAAUUUCGGUAACGUACUCUUAAUUAGUUACAAAUUGGAUACGUUUCACCUUCGAUAUCAGUAGUGUUUUCAUACAUUCUCUCUAAUUUUUACAUAUAACACAUAAGGUUUGUGUAAAAAUGAAGCGUUAUGUUGGAAUGAAUAUUUUGCUAUCUUUUAAAUAUAGGAAUGGAUAGACAAACAGCUUACUUUUCUCUAUGUUUAUUUAAUUUUAAAUUGUAGGUACGGAUAAAACGCAGAUCGUCGCUUAGUGAAAAUUCUCGUCUCUGGGGAUUUGUAAAAGAAAGUUUACGGUUAUUCACUAUGUUCUACAAUAUAUUCUGCAUUACGAGAUAUAUCAGUAUGAAAUAGUUUUUAAAACUUUGGAUAUGAAAUUCUUUUCUAUAAAAUUUAAGAAUUUGAUGUAUCUCAUACCUGUAUUAAGUAUAUCAACACUUCACACUUUCGUUUCUCUAGAAUAUUGCAAUUAUGAAAUCUAUUAUACAUGUUCUAUAUAUACUGUCAUUUAAUAUUUUCUCAUCAUGAAAAUGUGAAGUUAGCAAUAAGUAGUAAUGUAAUCUAGUUGAAAAUGUAUUUGCGUAUUCGAAUCAAUUUCAAUAAUAAAGUUUCAUUUCAUUGGUUUUGAUUAUUAAUCACGGGUUGGAUUAUUAAUCACAAAAUUUUCACGGGAAUAUUUGCAAUAUAAUCAUUUUAUAGAUGUUAGUUUUGUAUUCAAGUCUUGAAAACGUAUUUAUAAAUAAUUCAAGUAUGUUAUAAGUAAUCGGAGCUUUCAUAAACAGUACUCGUACCUUGGAAAUAGUGUUUCUAUAAUAGAAUUUAAAUAAUCCGUAUAAUGGUUAUCAUGGUAUUUUAUUCCUUUUUUUUUCUAUAAUAUUCCCUACCUUUGAGAAUUCUCUUUCUUCUGAUACAGAGGUUGCUAUUAUGCAACGUUAUUGACGUACAAUUCUUGUUAAAAUCGGAUAUUUAUUUGAAUUUAUUUACUAAAAUAAUAGCGGAUUCGCUUGGCGAUUUAUUGUCAUGUUAAAUAAUUUUCCAUUUCUAAUACAGUAGUCGAUGAACUAGGUAUAUUAUAAUUCAUAAUUAGUAUAAUUCAUAACUAGUCCUAUAACUAGUGUAUAACAUAACUAGUUCACUUUAAAAAGAUAACCAGAAGAAUUCGUUUUCCUUCUGAUUUAUGAAUGUUUGUCUAAUAUCAGAUAUUAUGAGUAGAUAGUCAUUGUGAAUAUAAUUUGUAGCUGUAUCAAUUAAUGCGUCCCAUUUCCGAGAAACAUAUUCGAUUUUAGAAAAAAAUAAUUUAAAUCGUGGAUCUAAUAAUGCACUUAACAUAUAAAAACAAUUGUUUUCAAUAUCAUUUAAAUAAUAAUGUGCGUAAUGUAUCAGAUUGUGUUAUAAAAUAUGUUCCAAAACUAAAAUCAUUACUAGAAACAUAUAAAAGAGCAAUUAUUUGUUUUUUAAUUGCUACUAUUUUGGAUAAUUUUACACUUUUUCGUUACUAAUUUCUUUAGUAAUUAAAAAAAAAUUCUUAAUAAGGGAGUAAUAAUACUAAGCGCAUUCAAUCUGAAUCUGUUAAUAAUUCGAAGAUGUAUUUUAUUGAUACUAAAGUUUAUUUUACGUGUCAAUUACGACAAUUUCAGUUCUAUUAAUCUUUGAAACAUCUAAUAUAUGAAAUUCUAUCGCAUUUUUAUUAUUAAUAAUCUAUUAUUAAUUUAUAAUCGGAUAUACUAACUUAAUUUUGGAUUUCUUACAAUUUAUCUGACGUGACAGUAUCGCGUUUACAAUAGUCAUUGAUAUUUGUCAAUGCGGCAGAUAUCACGUAUAUUUACUUACUAUUAAAUUAACGUGUAUGCAGAACAUAGGACAUUAAUUCUUGAUGAAUCGAAUAAUUUAAUUGCAGCUUUUAUAUUCGUUGCAUUUUCAUUAACUACAUCUUUAUAUCUAUUAUUUAGUUAGUUUUUUAGUUGUUUUAUACUUAGAUAAUAUCUUAGAUUAAAAAAUUUGAUCAAUGGAAUGAAUGCUGAGUUUUCCAUUACAGAUAGUGAUUGAAGAUCAACGGUAAUUAAAUUGUUCAUCAAAGAAUCAAUUUUCUUUUUCCUCAUAUUAUGCUUUAAAAGAAAUACUAUUAUUGUAAUGAUUUAGGAAAUAUUUUUAUACAUAAUUCAAUUGUGUAUUAAUAACUAAAAUUAUAUAAAAUUAAAAUAGUAUCAUAAGGGUACGAGUCAUACUGGAAUCUUUGUCACCCAUUGAAAUUUUAUGCACUUUCGUAUGUUUGAUAAGAUUAGUUGUACACUUAUCAUAUUUGAGUUUUUUCUUAUAUGUUUGGUACACAUAAGAAUUGUUAGAAAAAAAAUAUUGCUAAACCCAAAACCGUUUAGGCAUAUUGCUUUAACUACUUUAACACUCAUUCAUUAGAAUACUUGAAUAAUAAUUGACAGUCUGUUGUUUCUAAUAAUAUGAAUAAAUUAUUGAUAGGACCUUUAGCAGAAUGCGAACAAUAGUUUAUUUUAUCUGAAAUAUUUGUAAGCAUAUUUACGUAUAGAAUAUAUAUAUAUAUAUAUAUAUAUAUAUAUAUAUAUAUAUAUAUGUGUGUGUUAUAUUAUAUUAUAGACAUUUAUAAGCAUACUUAAGUAAGGUAAAUACAGUAGUGCAUUUUUGGCACGGAUAUUUAAUUUUGCGAAGUAGUUUAUUGACAGUAUUUCUAGGUCAGUCAUUAGCAAAUUUUGUUUUGCUAUUGAAAACAUAUUCUUAAUAAAACGAAUAUCUACUUGUAUUUAUAUUGGUGUGUGGACAUUAUAUUACAGAUGUAGUUCUGUAAAACUUUUAGGCAAGUACAUCAGCCAUCUUUUUAUUUUUUAUCUUCGACAGGUAGGGUUAACUUAUAAUAACGACGCUUCUUUUUAAUAUAUUCAUAUAGUUGGAAUGUUAGACCUUACGUAUGAAACAAAAGAUUUUGUAAAAUUUUGCGAACUAUUCAUAUUUUAAAAUAUAGAUCGCGUUUUGAAUGUUCUUAUAUUGCAAGAUAUGAUUCUAUAUACAUUCUUAAAUUUCGGAAUCCACCAUUUACUUGCUUUGAAUUCAGAUAAAUACACUGUCUUUUUCCUCCAAAACCCACGAUUUCAAAUUUAUGUCAUGGAUAAUAGAUCUGUCACAAUUAAUAAAUUUCUGUUAUUUUAGUAGUAAACGGAUCAUAGCAAAAUAUUUCAAUUUUCUUUUCGUGUUUUUAAUUGCUAUAUACAAUUAAUAAUUGUUUGUAUACCAUUUGUAGAUAAUUAUUAAACUGUAUAGUAUAAUAGUAUUGCAGCUUUUAUUUGCAUGUAUGGUGAUUAGAAGUUGAUUUCGAGUUGGUUUAUGAAGUCUUUUCUCGAAUAGAUUUAUACUGAUUUGAUGUGUCUUUGAGGAAUUUAUAAUAUCUUCUUCAACUGAUGAUAUUUUUAGGAUUUCCCAAAUAUCAUCGUCUCUAACGAACCGAGGUGCAUUCAGAACAGUACGUAGAAUAAUAGAAUAAUAGUAGGUUUUCCAUUUCUUUAUGUUGGAUUUGCCAUGUCCCAGAUUUGCAAGCCAUCUUCGUUUCCGAUGGGCUUUAAAAUGAUAUUGCUUAUUAACACCUUAUUGGUUGUACUCAGUUUGAAAUUUUUUGAAGUACUGUAUCCUUUUGAAUUUUUUAUUUAGUACACGCAUCUUCUUGUAUUUUUUAUUUAUUUGAUUUUUUCCUGGAUAUAUUUUUUCCAGUUUAUUUUACUAUAUAGGUGGAGGCUAAAAUAUUUAACAAAGUUAAUUUAUGGGUCUGUUAUGUUUUGGAAUUUAAUUUUUCAAAUAGAAUUUUAAGUAUAAUUAUUAUAUGCGAGCAUUUGUUUAUUUUAUUUUAAUUUUAUUGGAUUGUGUCUAGUUUUCCAUUUUGUAUAGAUGGUUUUAUAGAAUUUUUGUUGCAGUUUCUAUUUCUUAUGUACGAAAACGAUACGUAUCAUCGAUAAAGAUGUAUAUUUCUGUGGCAGGUGUGGAUGAAAAAUCAAUUAUGAAGAAAGAGAGUAGAAUAAGGCUUAAGAUGCUUCCUUGAGGUAGUCCGACAUGUAUUUUUUUUUUUUUUUUUAACGAAAAGUUUACGUUUCCGAUUUUGACGUAAAAAUAUCUGUUUGAAAAGUAAGAAGUAUAUAAGUGGAUAUAGGUUUUUUGAGAAGGAUACUCGUAGUUUCUUUAAUAGCCUUUUGUGCCAGAUUUUAUCGAAAGCUUUUUUCAUGUCAAAAAAUAAUGCAGUGUAGUAGCAACUGUCUUCCUCAGUGGAUCUAAUUAUUUUGUUUACCAUAUAUUUGCUCGAUCAUGUUGUUUUUUCUAAAUUCGGAUUGAUGAUCCAGGAUCAGUUGUUUAGCAAUGAUUUCUUUUUUUGGCCUUUUAUUUAUUGUUUUUUUCAUUAAUUUGCAGAUAGCAGAAGAGUUAUUGGCCUAUAUGAUGAUGGUGAUCUGGGGUUUUUACCUGGCUUUUGUAGCAGGAUUAUUUCAACACAUUUCCAAAUCUGCAAAAAAUAACCAAUCCUGAGUUAGUUAAAAUGGUUAUAUAUCUGAUUGCCUAAAAUGGUUAUAUAGCCGAUGCUUCUUUUAGCAUUUUCAUUGUUAUAAGAUUGUAUUCGGAAGAUUUAUUAAUCUUCAAAUUUUUGUUUAUAAAUGUGACUUCAUUUAUUUUAAUUGCUUCAUAGGUUAGCUAUUUUUCAUUAUCGUUAUGAGAUGAAAUAUGUGGUUCAUUUGUAAAUACGUUUUACUGUUCUUUACCGUUUUCAAGACAUUUUACGGAGAAGAAAAUUUUGAUUUUUUUUUUCAAAAGAUGAUUUCACCCUUUAGAAUUGAAUUAUAAUAUGAAAAAAUAAGAUUACAUCAUGGAUUACAUACUUUACUUGUAGCAAAAUUUCAGAAUUUUUUGAAUUUCAGUUUUCACUCUUAAGUUGUUUUUAUUUAUUUUGCUAUAGGAAUAAGGUAUAUUCUUUCUAAAGCAUUGUUCAUAUCUUCAUUUUUUUAUGUACUCGAGCCUACUGAAAACAUUUGUACAUAUUUUUAAGUAGAUGAGAAAUACGUCCGAAAGUUCUUGAAUAUUAUUUUUAUAGUUUUUAGAAAAGUCUUCUAUCAUUUUCAUUAGGAUAUAAUAAAGUCGAGAACGUGAUAAUUUUUUCCAAAAAGUAUUCAUGUCAUUUUUGAUUACAUGAUUUGUAGAUUUAAGAUUAUUGUCGAUAUAUGGAGUAAUUAGAUCAAAUUACCAAUUCUUAUCCAUUUUGAUUUUUAUCGAACCAUUCAUCUUGGAAGUAUUUUAAGAAAAUGAAUUCAUGUGCCCACUUUUUUACGUAAAGCUCAUAACGUAAAAAUUUAGGUAAAGCUUGUAUUUCUCGUACAUCUUUUUAUAUGUGCUCAAUACGUUAGAACAAUGGCUUCUCUAGCGAAUACAUUUUUAUAUCUAUUCCCGAUGUAUAAGCAAUCAAAACGUUUAGUCUCAAAGUUGUAAAUUAUUUGAACUGCUUGCUUCAAACUCUGAAAAAUAAAAUCAUAAAUUUUUUCGUUACUGCAAACUGCUACACCAAGAAGAUUAAAUUUCCUGUUAUGAUCUGCAGUAACUACUAAAAGAAUUUGCCAAAUAAGCUUGUAAUGUAAUUAACACCUGCAUGAAUAAUACUAUCUUCUUUUAAGAUUACGCAUGCAAUAAAGCUUAAGAUCUGUAACUUCAGCGAUGGAUGUGGAAAAAAAUGAACUAAAAGCGCGUUAAAAUACCUGUCUCCUUUUUCAAUUUAUCGAAUGAAUUAUGUAGGUACGUUGUACCCUCCAGAGUAGGUAAAUUGAAGAACUAAGUUGAUUACGAGACAUCAGAAAUAAUGUAUGAACAGUUGCUACAGAGUUAAUACGUAUUUUAUAAGAUAAAUGAAACAUGCAAUUUCUAGAUAGACUCGAUGAUGUUGAGUGCAUUAUAUUUUUGCAUUUGCCUAAAGCCAUUCAUUAUAAUAAUAAAAUGGUAAUAAUAUUAUUUAAAUAUAUUUAUAAAUUGUUCCGUCACAAAAAAGUACUGAAAUUCUUGACCCUUCGUUUAUCUUGUUAUUUCGUUUCGUCCCAAAUGUUCCUUUUAAAUGUUUUAGUUUUAAAUAUUUUUAGAAAACAACAAAGAAAGAGAUAAAUACAUCAUGGAAAUUAAUAAUCUUAUUGCGAUAGACAUAUAAAACUAAAUGUAGAUUUAAAUUUUAAAUGAUCGACAGUGACUAACGCGCGAAUUGUGAAUAGUUGAUUCAUGAUAAGUUAAAUCAUGAAUGGUUUUCCUCGCGACGCAAUACGAAGUAUCGAUAAAACAGAAAGAUAACAGUAAAUUCGUGAUAACGUAUCUUAGGCUAUUGUUAUAAGCUAUUGUAUCAUAGGCUAUUGAUGAUGCUUGUAUCGAUGGACGCACAAUAUACAUAUGCAUGGUAAUGUGGCAAAUGAAAAUCAUUUCUCCUAUUGUAUUAAUUAUAAUCAAAAUUCUACGUAUAUAGAUACGUAGGAUAUGUAGUAUAGCUAUACAUAUGUAGCAUGUGAGUUGUGUGAAAGAGAAGGUUUAUGACAAAUAGAGAGAAAGACAAAUCCUUGAAGGAAAUGCUAAUGUGUGUAAGAUUCCAGAGAAAAUCGACGUAGUGAAUUUUAAAACAACUGAAUUUGGUUCAAGAAACUGUAUAAAUUCUGGAUUUUUUUGAAAGAUUCGAAAAGAGAAAUGCGCCACCGAACGAAGACAUGAUCAUGAUUAUAUGUUGGUCAAAUAUGAGGACAUAGUUUUUCUUACAAACAUCGUUUUGUGGGUUUUUUUCGGCUAAUGAUAAAUGUCCGCAUGUUUAUGUAAAUAAUCUAAUAACAUAUUUCGAAAUAACAACGAGCAUGAAUAUCAAGUCAAAAAUGGCAAAUAAUAUUAAAAGACAAUUGUGUUUAAAAUAAUCUAAAAGAAAUAUCGUGCGGAAGGAUUAGAGAAAUAUAUACAUUAGUUUUUAGUUAUACAAAUCACUAACAAGUAAACGUGCUAUAAUAAACAUUAUGUUAUUCUGAAUAACAAUUAUCACUGAUGGAUUAUAAACAAUGAUAUAUGUUUAAAUAAUGUAUUCAUUAUAAGUAUAAUUGUUAAAAAAUUUAUAAUUUAAUUGUUUCUUCAAAGUAACGUAAUAGACACAAAUUAGACACAACUUACAUGCAUGACUUUCUCGAUAUAGUAUAACGUAACGAUACAAACAUAUUUGCAUGUUUCGUCCGAAUUUGAUGAUCAAGGAUUUAUUCGAAAGAUAAAGGUUUUUACACGAGACAAUCGUGUCUAAUUUUUUAAAAAUAUUAUUUCUAUAUCAUGUAUAACAUCGUGUAUAAAAAUAGGCAAACUUGAAGAGUAAUUUUCACAUAAGUACAAGCCUAUUGUUUUGAAAAUCCUCGCCUCCUCCUUUGUAGCUUUCGACAUUAGUCUUUACGCUAUAUUACGGAAGGCUUUAAGUACAAUAAUAUGGUAUUUUACUCAUUUAUUACUUGUGCAGCAUGAUAUAUCUAUCGCGGCAUAAAGUUCUUUUAAUUACGAAUAUUCGCCAUCUGUAGAUAUUAUUCCGGAUACCAUCCAUAGGGGUAUUAGCAUUCGAAUUUUUUUCUGAUGUAUCAUUAAUCUCAACUUUAUUAAUCAAAGCGGAUAUAUUACAUUUUAAUUUCACGAUGCUAAUAAAACUAUUGCGGGAUUCUGAAAUUGAAUAGAUAUCCGCAAAUAUACAAGGGAAAAGACAUCCACCCCUAUUGACAAAAUGCUAUUUAUAAAGUACGAAAUUGUACUAUUCGACGUCAUGAUAAUCGAAACAAAUAUUUAUCAGUAUUCAUAUUUGAUAUAUGUUCUAUUUGCAGAGCAGAUGGAGAAGAUUUAGAAAUAUUCGUGCUUAUCUGUAUGUACAGACUCCAAAUAUGGAUUUUGUAAAUUUCCAGUUUUGUUCGAUGUGCUAUCCUAUUUUUUUUCUUUUUUUUGAUUUAAAUAUUGAAAAAUUUUUUUCUUUUCUUCUUCCAGUAAUUGUUCAAUAUCGGUGUAUUUUCCCUGUUUUUCUUGCUUCUUGUAAGAUUCUCUUUUCUCGGUUGCAUAUUUUUUUUACAAAUCAUUCCAAAAAAAAAAAAAAAAAAAAAAAGAAA